rnacentral:snoRNA from 1 species
GUGCAUGAUGACGAAACAAUUUCUUCACUUUGACCUGACGUUUUCUUGUUUGAAGAAAUUUUGCAAUAUCUGACA